UAUUACAAUAAUUAUUAGCAAUAAUUUUGUUAAUAUUUUAUAAUAUUGUUAAGGAACAAUAAUGAAUAAAAUUUUCCUUUUUGUUAAUUGUAUUUAUCGCGAAAUGGCUGUAUGGACAAGUGUGCGCAACGCGUUGUGGCAUGUUCAUGUUUCCAAGAUGCGUUUUGGUCGAUUAUUGAAGGAACCACAACACAAAUUUCGCUUUGUGGCCUUUUUGAGUAUGGUAAAACGCGUUGUGAGCUCUUUUGAAAGUGGCACGACACAAAUUUUGCGUUGUGGUUAAAUCAGAAAAGUUAGAACGCGAUGUGGUCAUUUUUUUGCUCAAAGAGCGUUUUCGGUUGUUGAGCCUAACAUAUAUACAAAAGUGAAAGAGUGGAUACAGUAUUUAAAAAGUUAGUGCUUGCUUAAUUUAUUACUGCUUGAAAUAAGACCCUAAACUCGUUUGCUUUGUCUUUUCAAUAGCCUUUCGCUGAAUGGUGCUACAUAAAUUUCUGAGGAUUAAUUUUUCCAUGCAGUUACUGUUUUCUUGGUGUUCUGAGUAAUCAGGAAGAGCUUUGC
rnacentral:lncRNA from 1 species